rnacentral:rRNA from 1 species
UACGUAGGGUGCAAGCGUUAAUCGGAAUUACUGGGCGUAAAGCGUGCGCAGGCGGCUUUGCAAGACAGAUGUGAAAUCCCCGGGCUCAACCUGGGAACUGCAUUUGUGACUGCAAGGCUAGAGUACGGCAGAGGGGGAUGGAAUUCCGCGUGUAGCAGUGAAAUGCGUAGAUAUGCGGAGGAACACCGAUGGCGAAGGCAGCCUCCUGGGCCAACACUGACGCUCAUGCACGAAAGCGUGGGGAGCAAACAGG